ensembl:lincRNA uncharacterized LOC110315855
AGAGUCCAGCAAGAAGGGCUGAGAUUCACAGCAAGCUCACGUGUCUAGGUAACAUCCUAAGUUCUGAGCUAUAGUUACCUGACUGUUCCCAGUCCUGAAAUGGGCCUUGCAGACUCUGAAUGCAAUUCACUUGGGCUAUCAUCAGAGGGAAGCAUGUUUGUGUUUCAUUAACACCAGUGUAUAGCCCAGUCAGAACAUGGACCCAUAACAGCCUAGGAUACACUAAACCACAGGAGUCAUGGACCAAACCCUGUUCCUGUAUAAUCCCAGGAUGAACCAAGCAAGUCUCCACAGGACACAAGGAUAUAUCCUGAAACCAAAAGUCCCAGGCAAAAACCUUCAAACACAAGGAUUCUGGCAUCAGGAACCUCUUGAGUUGCUGUUUAUGGAAGUUCAAGAGAUUCCCCCCAAACAAUAUAAGAUGAAAAUGUUCAUCAAACGCCUCAUUAAGAAUCACAAGGCAGUAUUUCAAAAGAAAAAGGUUGAAAAGUACGCAUGACCCAAACCCACCCAUCACAGCCACAUCUUCUAGUCCACUGCAUAAAGAGCUGAAUUCAGUGACGGUGACUUUUGUGUAUAGUUUUAAAAAACACACUUCUCCUUGCCCAGUGCCGGUAGUCUCACCCAUCCCCACAGCCAGCCUCCACAAGCCACUCUGUUCCUUGCCCACUUCCAGCAAUGGCUGUCUCACCCAGCUCCCAUGGCUAGCUUCACCAAACAUCUACCAGCCACCCUGCGGCUGUGCCCUUUCUCCUGCCUAUCUGAGUUACCUAGGAUGGAAAACACCAGACAGCAUUAAUAUUUUAAAAGCAACCAGAUAAC